AGAAACCAUAAUUUUCACUACAGAUUAUAAAUUUUUUUUAUCCGACUUAAAUUUUCAGGUUCACUAUCUAAAUUACAAAGCGCAUGGGGGAGGGGGGGAGUGGGGGGUGUCGUCCCUUCCACAACUCACCGCUCAUACAACACCCUGUGUCAUACAUUUCUGAGCACAUUAAAAAUUAAGAGGAAUUAGGCAUAGAUCUAGAAUUUACAGAAAGGAUAUGAAAGAAUGCGAGAGUUGAAAUUAGGAGUCAGGUAGUUCAGAUUUCAGAGGUGCAGCAGAUGAGGAUGCACAGCUCCCAUUUUGAAGGUGGAGGCUGUUGGCCACCAUGGAGUCACUAACCAAACCAACAUCAACAUCAUCAAAAUUCAGUGUGCCUCUGAUCUUCCUAUUACUAUUCAAUCGAUUGUUGAUAGAUGUAAGGUCUUUUGAAGGGCUCUGGUAUGCAUGAGUGCUCUCCCCCACACAAGCAUAAUAGCUUUUUGAGCUAUGUGAGAUCAAGGCAUCCAUCUUGGAUGUCCGCAAUGGAGAGACAUACACAUUAUGUGCUGCAGAAACUUUCUUUGGAGACAUAUCAGGGAGACUUGGGAAAGGAGAUACUUUAGGUGAUGCAGGACAUUGACCAUCUUUAUUGUUAUUGGCUUCAGGAACCUGGGUAGUUUUUGUAGUUCCAGCAGAACCAACCUCCACCAGUAAAGGCUUUGCAGCAGGAAUGAAUAUUUCAUUGUAAAAUGUAAUGAUGUCAACAUGAUCUUGGCCCGUCCUCCCAUCAUGGCGUGCUGAAGACCAAUCAACAAAGACACCACAGAAAACUUGUGGUUUACAUUGAGGUUGCUUCCUAUAGUUGUAAAUGAUCUCCCUGAAGGUUAGAUUCACUUUGGAAAUCUUUGCAACUCCAUAAAAACAACAUAGAAUGAUCUGGUCAAUGUGGCGGUUAAAGAACAAAGACGUCCGCUGACUAAGGAUUUGUUGAAAAAGACGAUAGACAUUCUCUCGUACAUGCUGCUGAGACUGUUGUAACCUUUCAACCAUACCAUUGAUUCUGACAGCAGCUAACUUAUUAAUCUAGGCAAGACAAAAAGUAUGGACUGGUAAACUUGGAACAUAAUUAAAAUGAAAUAAAGCAACAUAGUUUCAUGUUGAUCAAAUUCUUCAACAACUCUUAAGAGUUAAAAAUGAUAGACAAACCUGCAAACUGUCACCAAUAUGCUCGACAACAGGUGAGACAAAUGGCUUAGAUAAACAAACAUAGCUUUCCAGAAUAUUUAUCAUCUUCAAAAGCAAAUACAUAAAAUAUGUAACUCUACAUUAUUAUCAAUGCGUCCACAGAUGAAAAAGGGUGGGCAGGGUUAGGGAUCCGUUAUAAUUGGAACUUGAGCUGCCUUACAAAUACAUCCUAUUCAAGUAAUCAAAGCCAAGCUUAAGGUUCUUAAAUUUUGUUUUAAACAAACUUGCACCCAUCAUUUUAAGCUUGAAUAUACUAAAGCCAACCUCUAGCUCUUAAUAUUUGGCCGACUCUUGAACCACCAAGAUAUCAGCUAAAACCUGCUUGUUUGCACACUUAAUUCUGGAACCAUGCAUGAGAUAUAUUGCAAGCAUGGUAGCUUCAAAGAUAAAGCCAGGUUGAAUACCCAACCAAGCACAUACCAAUAACUGCGGCUCCAAAACCAGCCGCCGCCACCAAUGCAAUAGAAAGAAAACCAUUUUACCAUUACAGGCAGAGGGAAAAAAGACCUAUGCAUCCAAUGCUCAAAGCAUAUGAACAAUUAUCUUAGAUUGUCAAGUUGGCAAUACAAUGGCCAUUAACAUUAAAAUAGUCUAUCCACUACCUUACUAAAGAAUAUAUUAAUCCCAGUUUCUGCACAUGUUUCCCCUCCUCCCCCAGGGUUUGGACGUGUUGGACUGAAACAAAAAUCCACACAGAACUCACAAUUAGAUAAAAUGAAAAUGCUGUAGCAUUGACCUUAAAAGGUCAGAGAUGCCACUUCAUGUCGCCCUAAGAAUACCAAUUUACCUGGCAAAGGCAGACUGUAAAGGAGGUGGUGGUAGCUUUGAUUUAUUAAAGGCAAGUAGGCGAUCCUUCACUGGUGAUGUAAAGGAGUUCCGCUCUACUAACACACUUCGGAAGUCCAUGCAUGGUCUCUUAGGAGACCUGAUAUCCCCAUUCUGACCUGAAUAUGAUACAUGACAACCAAUGAAAUGCUGCAUCAGACAUACAAACCUUACUGAAUACAAGUUAUAUACGUUGCUACUUCGGAUCAUAUAUUUAUUUUUUCUCAAGAAAAAUUACUUGGAGAUGACUCGGGCUUUUGUGAAGCAGGCACUGGAGGCAAACCUCCAGAAGAAAAGUUAAUAUGCAUGGCAAUUGCAUCCAGAGAUGGCAUUGGUUCUGCUAAUAGCCCAAGGUGAUUUAUCUCCCCAGAAAGAGAGGGUCUUGCUACAGUCAAGGAAUUAUACAUUGAGGAGCCCUUUUCCCACACCAUGCUCUCCAAAAGUCGUUCUUCCAAUGAAUUCAAAUGCCGCCUCAACUCCCUUGGGAGAGACUCCUCAUGUCUAAUGAAGCUCUCUAUCACCUUGCUAAGAUCAAAAGCUGUAAUGCCAGUUCUCUCCAAAACUGCAGGAAAGAGCAUCGUAACAGUAUUAUGUGUUGCCAGGACGAGUUCAGCAGAGCACGCGAGCAUACAUCUGUGGAACCUCUCAUUAGUUAAUAAAGAGGUCAAAUUAGUUGCAUGAAAUAUUUGGGCUUCUGCUGUGCACAUUGCUUCCAGAACCCUGUAAUACAGCUUUAGGGCUUCCAGUCUUCGUUGUUCUGCCCAUAUGUUGUCCAUCAGGUUUGUACUUUGCAGAUUUCCAGUUACACAACGCUCUCCCAGAGAGCUACUUGGAAAUAUAGCCUCCAAUAUUAUCUUAGCUCUACGUAUGACAUCAUUACUAACAUCCCUAUCACAUGAUGCAAGGAAGCGUUCCAGCUGUACUGAGGGCUUUGGUGGAAGAGGAGAAAUAACAGUGCGAAGCCACUUUGCAGUUGUCAUUGCUGCGCUUACAGGUGUAGCAGCCAUCUUAGAAUUUGUACUGCCUAAAAUACCAUUUGCAUGAGAUGCAGGGGACCGAAGGGGAGUAAGCGGGCUUGUAAUUGUCUUUGUCGGUGAGGAAAUCUGAUCAAAUUUUCUUUUGGUGCCAGUUACAUUUAUAGCACCUUCAGAUGGGCUUCCUGAACCAAGUAUGUUGUCUUCCUCAUUGAUAAAUACCCUCUCAUCCAGGUCACCCUUGGAACGAAUUGCAUCCUCAUAAUCCUUCUCUAAAAUAGCCAAACUGGACUGCAGCGAUGAUUCUUCUAUUAAAUCUUCAUAAUAGAUCAAACCAUCUGGAUUGAUGUUAUCCAGUUUUUCAUUUUUACACUCAGAUGCCAAACAGGGCUUUUUCUUCAGAAUAUCUGCUAUUAUAUUAUUGGUCUUCUCCAUUGUUUUUCUCAGCUCAUCUUCAGAGGUGUCAUAUUUGUUGCAAAGUGACGCCAGUAAGUCAACACCUUUCUCACCCUUCUUAACAAACCACUGAGAGUCAUUCAAGUUGAAAUUUCUGAAGCGAAUUGGAAUGUGAAUUAUCAAAAUAGCCAGCACAGAAAGUAGCCCAUUUGUGCAGGUCACCAAAUCUUUAAAACGGCUGAAUGCAUGCACACGGAGUUCCAAAAACAGCAACCAUCCAAAUCGAUGAUAUUCUGACAUGGGCGCUUUAUUACUGGUAACUGCUGACUGCUUAUCAACAUUUGCAUCACUUGUCAAAAAAAGUUCCCGAUAUGCAUGUUUGUAGUGCCUGCUUAAAAUGUUCAGGUGCUCAACAUUGGCUUGCUGCUCCUUUGCCUCAAGUCGGUUCUCCAAAUCUGCACCAUACAUAUUACUCAAGAUUGGAAUAGCCUUGACAAUGUAUUGCUGGUAGCUUUUUAAAGAAUUCAACAAUGCAGCAAGAUAUUAUAUUGCAAACUAGAUUAAAGCUAGAAGCAUGAACUGUAGCUCACAAGCUUGAACUGUAAAAGCUCCUGAAAUGAACAGCAAAGCAGCCCUCACUGUGCUCCACACACAAAGCAGCAUAAGGAAGCAACUGCUGGAUGUUUUGUUUUCACAUAAUAUGAGGUGGCAACCUGUAGCAGGGCUUUGGUACUGAGACAAGAUGUGCUACGCUUGAACCGUGAGCAAAUAUACAGACCGAACUCAGCAGUCGCUGGAACACCCUAUGAGCGGGAAUGUGGAAGAAACUGAGAGGAUUUUGCUUUGAGUUCCGCUGGAGAGGAUCCGAAGAGGCCGGAUCGCACCGUAUUAGUGGCGGAUGUUGGUAGCUGCGUUGUCGGCGAGUGAUAAUAGUCGGCGGCGGUAGUUGAGGCGACAAGGAAUUAGGACUGAAGGAGCAGCAAAUCGGAGAGUGAAACUAGGGUUCGAUUACAA
rnacentral:misc_RNA from 1 species